UACAGAGGUCCCGAGCGUUGUUCGGAUUCAUUGGGCGUAAAGGGUGCGUAGGCGGUCUUCUAAGUUUGAUGUGAAAUCCCGGGGCUUAACCCUGGAAUUGCAUUGAAUACUGGAGGACUAGAGUCCCGGAGAGGAAACUGGAAUUUACGGUGUAGCAGUGAAAUGCGUAGAGAUCGUAAGGAAGACCAGUGGCGAAGGCGAGUUUCUGGACGGGUACUGACGCUGAGGCACGAAGGCCAGGGGAGCAAACGGG
rnacentral:rRNA from 1 species